CUAACAUUCCUGAGUAGCCAAGGAAACAGUGUCAGAAGCUACUGAUAGAUAAGAAUAUUAGUUACAGAUUUGGAAAGAUCUUGUAAGGCCACGAGAUACUUACCAAUUUUUUGUUGCGCAUGCUGAACUGAAAAUAUAUAAAACACUGGAUACACCCUUUUUUUCUACUGGAAAAUUGACAUUAGGACCACAUCAAGAAAAGGGAAAGCAGCAUGUUCGCUCAGAUAUAUUGGUUUUUUAUGUUAAGUUUGGUAACCUUUUAUGUACCUUACAUGAAACACCUUAUGUGAUAACAACUGGGGAUUCAUUC